rnacentral:rRNA from 1 species
CACGUAGGGCGCAAGCGUUGUCUGGAAUUAUUGGGCGUAAAGAGCUCGUAGGCGGACUGUCACGUCCGCUGUGAAAAGCUAGGGCUUAACCCUGGCCUUGCAGUGGAUACGGGCAGACUAGAGGUAGGUAGGGGAGAAUGGAAUUCCCGGUGUAGCGGUGAAAUGCGCAGAUAUCGGGAGGAACACCAGUGGCGAAGGCGGCUACCUGGACCAGCACUGACACUGAGGCACGAAAGCGUGGGGAGCAAACAGGG